CGCAUCUGUGCAUGCAGCAUAUCAAUAAGCGGAGGAAAAGAAACUAACAAGGAUUCCCUCAGUAACGGCGAGUGAAGCGGGAAGAGCUCAAAUUUGAAAUCUUGAAAGGUCACCUUUCACGAAUUGUAGUUUAAAGAAGUGUUUUCUGUUACGAUCGUAAUAUAAGUUCUUUGGAAUAGGACAUCAUAGAGGGUGAGAAUCCCGUCUAUGAUUGCGAUUUGUAGCUUUGUGAUACACUUUCAAAGAGUCGGGUUGUUUGGGAAUGCAGCCCAAAACGGGAGGUAAAUUUCUUCUAAGGCUAAAUAUUGGCGAGAGACCGAUAGCGAACAAGUACCGUGAGGGAAAGAUGAAAAGAACUUUGAAAAGAGAGUUAAAUAGUACGUGAAAUUGUCAAAAGGGAAGCGUUUAACACCAGUGUUGUUUUCUGAAAAUCAACCUCUGUUAGCUUUAUGCAUGUUUGUUUAGACCUAAUCAGCUAUCUUGCAUGUUCUAUUGUUUGCAGUGGUGCACUUUUCAGUUUACAGGUCAACAUCAGUUUUUUUUACCGUAAAAAAGUUAAAGAAAGGUAGCUCAUGGCUCCGGUCGUGAGUGUUAUAGUCUUUUUCCUAUGCGGUAGGAGAGACUGAGGUCUGCAGUGUAGGCUAUUUGGCUAGAUACUCAGGUGCUAUGUGAUACCAUUUCAUAAACAACUUGUUGAUUAUGUUUUGUCUAUUGCAUACUCGCUUGUACUAUCAUACCUACGCUUAGGAUGUUGAAGUCAUCGUAUCGCGC
rnacentral:rRNA from 1 species